rnacentral:rRNA from 1 species
AGAGUUUGAUCAUGGCUCAGGACGAACGCUGGCGGCGUGCCUAAUACAUGCAAGUCGAGCGAGCUUGCCUAGAUGAUUUUAGUGCUUGCACUAAAUGAAACUAGAUACAAGCGAGCGGCGGACGGGUGAGUAACACGUGGGUAACCUGCCCAAGAGACUGGGAUAACACCUGGAAACGGAUGCUAAUACCGGAUAACAACACUAGACGCAUGUCUAGAGUUUGAAAGAUGGUUCUGCUAUCACUCUUGGAUGGACCUGCGGUGCAUUAGCUAGUUGGUAAGGUAACGGCUUACCAAGGCAAUGAUGCAUAGCCGAGUUGAGAGACUGAUCGGCCACAUUGGGACUGAGACACGGCCCAAACUCCUACGGGAGGCAGCAGUAGGGAAUCUUCCACAAUGGACGAAAGUCUGAUGGAGCAACGCCGCGUGAGUGAAGAAGGGUUUCGGCUCGUAAAGCUCUGUUGGUAGUGAAGAAAGAUAGAGGUAGUAACUGGCCUUUAUUUGACGGUAAUUACUUAGAAAGUCACGGCUAACUACGUGCCAGCAGCCGCGGUAAUACGUAGGUGGCAAGCGUUGUCCGGAUUUAUUGGGCGUAAAGCGAGUGCAGGCGGUUCAAUAAGUCUGAUGUGAAAGCCUUCGGCUCAACCGGAGAAUUGCAUCAGAAACUGUUGAACUUGAGUGCAGAAGAGGAGAGUGGAACUCCAUGUGUAGCGGUGGAAUGCGUAGAUAUAUGGAAGAACACCAGUGGCGAAGGCGGCUCUCUGGUCUGCAACUGACGCUGAGGCUCGAAAGCAUGGGUAGCGAACAGGAUUAGAUACCCUGGUAGUCCAUGCCGUAAACGAUGAGUGCUAAGUGUUGGGAGGUUUCCGCCUCUCAGUGCUGCAG